ACGGGUGAGUAACGCGUGGGAACGUACCUUUUGCUACGGAAUAACUCAGGGAAACUUGUGCUAAUACCGUAUGUGCCCUUCGGGGGAAAGAUUUAUCGGCAAAGGAUCGGCCCGCGUUGGAUUAGCUAGUUGGUGAGGUAAAGGCUCACCAAGGCGACGAUCCAUAGCUGGUCUGAGAGGAUGAUCAGCCACACUGGGACUGAGACACGGCCCAGACUCCUACGGGAGGCAGCAGUGGGGAAUAUUGGACAAUGGGCGCAAGCCUGAUCCAGCCAUGCCGCGUGAGUGAUGAAGGCCCUAGGGUUGUAAAGCUCUUUCACCGGUGAAGAUAAUGACGGUAACCGGAGAAGAAGCCCCGGCUAACUUCGUGCCAGCAGCCGCGGUAAUACGAAGGGGGCUAGCGUUGUUCGGAUUUACUGGGCGUAAAGCGCACGUAGGCGGACUUUUAAGUCAGGGGUGAAAUCCCGGGGCUCAACCCCGGAACUGCCUUUGAUACUGGAAGUCUUGAGUAUGGUAGAGGUGAGUGGAAUUCCGAGUGUAGAGGUGAAAUUCGUAGAUAUUCGGAGGAACACCAGUGGCGAAGGCGGCUCACUGGACCAUUACUGACGCUGAGG
rnacentral:rRNA from 2 species